rnacentral:rRNA from 1 species
AUUGAACGCUGGCGGCAUGCUUUACACAUGCAAGUCGAACGGCAGCAUGACCUAGCUUGCUAGGUUGAUGGCGAGUGGCGAACGGGUGAGUAAUGCAUCGGAACGUAUCCAAUAAUGGGGGAUAACGCAUCGAAAGGUGUGCUAAUACCGCAUACGCCCUGAGGGGGAAAGUGGGGGAUCUUCGGACCUCACGUUAAUGGAGCGGCCGAUGCCUGAUUAGCUAGUUGGUGAGGUAAAGGCUCACCAAGGCGACGAUCAGUAGCUGGUCUGAGAGGACGACCAGCCACACUGGGACUGAGACACGGCCCAGACUCCUACGGGUGGCAG